GUCUGGGAAGUCGGUCUUCCACGAGCAACAGAUUUCGUUAUAGCCCCCUUGCGGCUUGUGUCAGCUACGCUCCACCUUUAUGAUCCUGCUGUAAGGUUAGGCACUAGCUUCCGGACCUUGAGCGGGACGAAAGCAGGGCAACUACAGGGAAGGAGAAAGGGGAUGCCUGAGGGAUCUUUGUCUGAGGCUCCGAACAAGGAAGUUGUCUUUGGAGUAGGGGGAGGAGACUGCCACCUGUUGAGGCAACCCCAUAAUAGUCAUGAGAUGAGAAAACUACGGCCAGGAAGAUAAACUGAUAGGUCCAUGCUAGAAGAGAAGUGCAGCUAUCCUGCCGUCCAGGAUUACUUGUUGGGGCCAGGUAGCUGUCAUGUCAGAGUCAUAAGGUCACUCAGGCAACUUAUAAAAAGGCUCACAUGGUGAGUAAUUAAGGCUUCCAGCUAACAAUCGGUGAGGUAUUGAAGCCUUCUGACAAUAGCCAUGUGAAUGAGCUUGGAAGCAGAUCCUCCAACCCCAGUCAGGCCUUCAUAUGAUUGCAUGCAUCCUGGUCAACAUCUUGACUGUAACCUAGAAAGAGACCGUGAGACAUAAUCAUUCAGCUACGGUGCUCCUGAAUUCCUAAGCCACAGAAACGAUGUUUGGAUGAACGGAGGCAAGAUGGUGCACUUCCCGGGUUCUUCUUCACCAACUUUCC